UGGGGAAUAUUGGACAAUGGGGGCAACCCUGAUCCAGCCAUGCCGCGUGAGUGAUGAAGGCCUUCGGGUUGUAAAGCUCUUUUGGCGGGGACGAUGAUGACGGUACCCGCAGAAUAAGCCCCGGCUAACUUCGUGCCAGCAGCCGCGGUAAGACGAAGGGGGCAAGCGUUGUUCGGAAUUACUGGGCGUAAAGGGCGCGUAGGCGGUUUGCUUAGUCAGGCGUGAAAGCCCUGGGCUUAACCUGGGAUGUGCGCUUGAUACUGGCAGGCUUGAGUGUGGGAGAGGUUGGUGGAAUUCCCAGUGUAGAGGUGAAAUUCGUAGAUAUUGGGAAGAACACCGGUGGCGAAGGCGGCCAACUGGACCACAACUGACGCUGAUGCGCGAAAGCCAGGGGAGCAAACG
rnacentral:rRNA from 1 species